rnacentral:tRNA from 1 species
UGACCCAUUGUGUAAUGGUAGCACACCGGUUUUUGGUGCCGCUAGUCAAGGUUCGAAUCCUUGUGGGUCAACAA